rnacentral:rRNA from 1 species
ACCAUCCGCGGUAAUUCCAGCUCCAAUAGCGUAUAUUAAAGUUGUUGCAGUUAAAAAGCUCGUAGUUGAAUUUCGGAAUCUGUCCGUUGGUCGGGCUUCAUUGUCCGUACUGGUGUGAUGGGUUCUUACCUUCUGAAUAACCAGCAUGCCAUUCAUUUGGUGCGUUGGGGAAGCAGGACUAUUACCUUGAAAAAAUUAGAGUGCUCAAAGCAGGCUAGUGCCUGAAUACAUUAGCAUGGAAUAAUAAAAUAGGACGGCAUGGUUCUAUUUUGUUGGUUUCUAGGAUCACCGUAAUGAUUAAUAGGGAUAGUUGGGGGCAUUAGUAUUCAAUUGUCAGAGGUGAAAUUCUUGGAUUUAUUGAAGACUAACUUCUGCGAAAGCAUUUGCCUAGGAUGUUUUCAUUAAUCAAGAACGAAAGUUAGGGGAUCGAAGACGAUCAGAUACCGUCGUAGUCUUAACCAUAAACUAUGCCGACUAGGGAUCGGACGAUGUUAAUUUUUUAAUGACUCG